rnacentral:rRNA from 1 species
AACGCGAAGAACCUUACCUACUCUUGACAUCCAGAGAAUUCGCUAGAGAUAGCUUAGUGCCUUCGGGAACUCUGAGACAGGUGCUGCAUGGCUGUCGUCAGCUCGUGUUGUGAAAUGUUGGGUUAAGUCCCGCAACGAGCGCAACCCUUAUCCUUUGUUGCCAGCACGUAAUGGUGGGAGCUCAAAGGAGACUGCCGGUGAUAAACCGGAGGAAGGUGGGGAUGACGUCAAGUCAUCAUGGCCCUUACGAGUAGGGCUACACACGUGCUACAAUGGCAUAUGCAAAGAGAAGCAAACUCGCGAGAGCAAGCGGACCUCAUAAAGUAUGUCGUAGUCCGGAUUGGAGUCUGCAACUCGACUCCAUGAAGUCGGAAUCGCUAGUAAUCGUAGAUCAGAAUGCUACGGUGAAUACGUUCCCGGGUCUUGUACACACCG